rnacentral:rRNA from 1 species
GACGUAGGAGGCGAGCGUUGUCCGGAUUCAUUGGGCGUAAAGGGCGCGUAGGCGGUUUGUUAAGUCGGCUGUGAAAGCCCGGGGCUCAACCCCGGAGGGUCAGCCGAUACUGGCAGACUAGAGUACGGAAGAGGUAGCUGGAAUUCCCGGUGUGGCGGUGAAAUGCGUAGAUAUCGGGAGGAACACCUGAGGCGAAGGCGGGCUACUGGGCCGAUACUGACGCUGAUGCGCGAAAGCCAGGGGAGCGAACGGG